AAAAAAAGUGGCAUGAGAUUUAUCAAAGGAUUGAGAAAUGCCCAUUGCAAUCUCGUGGGCAGAGGACUUUGCUUGGAGGUGUGCUGAAAUGCACAUGUGGUUUUCACACUCAAAAGCAGAGUACUGCUUCUGCUGCUCCAGCACAAACGGUG